CUAUGAACCUUGCUUCCAGAAGAUUCUUAAGCUAUGGAAUAUUUUAACGUUGAUGUCGUAAUGCAGAGCGAUGCCUUGUAGAUGGAACUUGCAGAUGGAGCCCAGUGAACCUCUCAUUGCUUACCUGCCUGCCUGCCUGCGCUUUGGUUGGAGGAAUUCUCAGUGUGAUGAUGGAACUGUGGGAAAUGUACAAGUUUGAAGUGCCUUAGGCAAAUGCUUGGUGAAGCAAGUUGGGGUGGGGAUGAUUGGAUUGUGCUGCAGUCUGGUAGGGCACAAGUUAGUCAUGCCCAAAUUCUGUUAGAAAUGGCAGGUGUAGUUUGGGCAUUUGGAUUUCAUCGCAGGUUACAAAGAGAAGGGAAUGGUCGAGUACUGAUGGUGAUCUUUGGUUCAUCUUGCUAUUUUUUUAACUUGAAUUCUACUUGAUUAGAUUUCACCUAAUCUUGGCAUUCAAAUGGGAAGGAGAGGGCACAGCUUGACACUGGUAUUGGGAGGGGUGGGGUGAAGACAGGGAAGAGGGGUUACUAGCUACAUGGCAAAGGGUGGGGCUGUAGGGAACGUGGGUUGAGGGGGAUUUUUCUGGAGAAAACAUCAGAGGGGAGAGCUCUGGAGAAUUUAAUAGCUCGUGGG